rnacentral:rRNA from 1 species
AUGCAGUCGAACGACACAGUGGCAGACGGGUGAGUAACGCGUGGGAACGUACCUUUCGCUACGGAAUAGCUCUGGGAAACUGGUGGUAAUACCGUAUACGCCCUUAGGGGGAAAGAUUUAUCGGCGAAAGAUCGGCCUGCGUUGGAUUAGCUAGUUGGUGAGGUAAUGGCUCACCAAGGCGACGAUCCAUAGCUGGUCUGAGAGGAUGAUCAGCCACACUGGGACUGAGACACGGCCCAGACUCCUACGGGAGGCAGCAGUGGGGAAUCUUGCACAAUGGGCGAAAGCCUGAUGCAGCCAUGCCGCGUGAAUGAUGAAGGCCUUAGGGUUGUAAAAUUCUUUCGCCAGGGAUGAUAAUGACAGUACCUGGUAAAGAAGCCCCGGCUAACUUCGUGCCAGCAGCCGCGGUAAUACGAAGGGGGCUAGCGUUGUUCGGAAUUACUGGGCGUAAAGCGCACGUAGGCGGACUUUUAAGUCAGGUGUGAAAUCCCGGGGCUCAACCUCGGAACUGCAUUUGAAACUGGAAGUCUUGAGAUCAGGAGAGGUUAGCGGAAUACCGAGUGUAGAGGUGAAAUUCGUAGAUAUUCGGUGGAACACCAGUGGCGAAGGCGGCUAACCGGACUGAUACUGACGCUGAGGUGCGAAAGUGUGGGGAGCAAACAGGAUUAGAUACCCUGGUAGUCCACACCGUAAACGAUGAGAGCUAGUUGUUGGCAGGCAUGCCUGUCGGUGACGCAGCUAACGCAUUAAGCUCUCCGCCUGGGGAGUACGGCCGCAAGG